rnacentral:rRNA from 1 species
UACGUAGGGCGCAAGCGUUAUCCGGAAUUAUUGGGCGUAAAGAGCUCGUAGGCGGUUUGUCGCGUCUGCCGUGAAAGUCCGGGCUCAACUCCCGGAUCUGCGGUGGGUACGGGCAGACUAGAGUGAUGUAGGGGAGACUGGAAUUCCUGGUGUAGCGGUGAAAUGCGCAGAUAUCAGGAGGAACACCGAUGGCGAAGGCAGGUCUCUGGGCAUUAACUGACGCUGAGGAGCGAAAGCAUGGGGAGCGAACAGG